rnacentral:lncRNA from 1 species
AAACUGCGUCCAAAUAAUUCAAAGUAAACCUGCAAGAGGUACAGGAAGAGAGAUUUUUUGACUGCGUUUACGCUAUUGUUAUUUUUCUAAAGCAUUUGGAAACCAAGAACUAUGUCUGACUACUACGUUGACGAAUACGAACACUUCAACUACGAUUACGACAAGCAUAUUUUUACCGGUCACAGUGGAAAACAGCGAAGCAAACGCGAGGCUCUUGCACAUACAAAUCAUUUCGAUCCGUGCGGCCAUUCCAGAAAGAUUCUCACCAAAUUGAUGAAUUCUGAACACAACAAACGGAAUGUUGGAAAGACCAAAGCAUAAAGAAGACUCAGGGUUGCUGUCCAAUUUUUGGAGAAAGUAUUUGUCAAUUCCAACAGAUUGAAGUGUUUUGAACACCCUUGAAUACAAUAAACGAUUCUUUCAUUUCCUUUAUUCUUAGUAAUGCAUUUAGUCACUGAACAUAAAUGCUCACUUAGGCUAAGAUAAUUAGUACUUACUACAAAUAUGUAUUUCAUAAUCAUUAUUCUUAUUCAUGUUAUGUUGUAACUUAUAAGGUAUAUAUGUAUAACUAUCUUCUAGACUACUCGAUCCAGAACUACCUGAACCUGGAUUUCUCUUGAUAGAUUAAGAAGAUAAAUAAUAUUUGUAUUGGAUUCACACACUAUACAAAUUUUUUAGGUACAGUGCAUCUAGUUAUAAAUGUUUCAUUUCAUUGGUAUUGAAACACAGUUGCUCAAUUUAGAAAUUAGAAAUUUAUUUUACUAUGCGAAAACAUUUUAUUCAAUGUGAAUAUGGAAGAAAUUUUCAUUUGCAUUUGUUUUCUAAGAUAUUGUAAGUUAAAUUUUUGUUAUAUUCGAAAGAGCAAUUUUGAGUUCACUAGGAAGUUGAAGUAUUAGAUAAAAAAGGUGACUGUACAAUUUUGGUGAAUAAUAAAAUUUAUAUUUAUUGAAAA